rnacentral:tRNA from 1 species
GCCUGGGUGGCUCAGUCGGUUGAGCAUCCGACUUUGGCUCAGGACGUGAUCUCACGGUUUGUGGGUUUGAGCCCCAUAUCAGGCU